rnacentral:rRNA from 1 species
AAACUCCGCAAUGCGCGAAAGCGUGACGGGGUCACCCCGAGUGCCGUCCGCUGAGGAUGGCUUUUGCCCGGUUUAACUAGCCAGGUGAAUAAGGGGAGGGCAAGUCUGGUGUCAGCCGCCGCGGUAAUACCAGCUCCCCGAGUGGUUGGGACGAUUAUUGGGUCUGAAGCGUCCGUAGCCGGCCGGAAAAGUUCCCCGUUAAAUCUGGCGAUCCAAUCGUUGGGCUGCGGGGAAUACUCUUCGGCUUGGGGGCGAGGGAGGUCGGCGGUAGUCCCGGGGUAGGGGCGAAAUCCUAUAAUCCCGGGAGGACCACCAGUGGCGAAGGCGGCCGACUAAAACGCGCCCGACGGUGAGGGACGAAAGCUGGGGGAGCGAACGGG